UGGGGAAUAUUGCACAAUGGGCGCAAGCCUGAUGCAGCCAUGCCGCGUGUAUGAAGAAGGCCUUCGGGUUGUAAAGUACUUUCAGCGGGGAGGAAGGGAGUAAAGUUAAUACCUUUGCUCACUGACGUUACCCGCAGAAGAAGCACCGGCUAACUCCGUGCCAGCAGCCGCGGUAAUACGGAGGGUGCAAGCGUUAAUCGGAAUUACUGGGCGUAAAGCGCACGCAGGCGGUUUGUUAAGUCAGAUGUGAAAUCCCCGGGCUCAACCUGGAAACUGCGUCGGAUACUGGCAAGCUUGAGUCUGGAGGAGGGGGGUAGAAUUCCAGGUGUGACGGUAAAAUGCGUAGAAAUCUGGAGAAAUCCCGGUGGCGAAGGCGGCCCCCUGGACGAAGACUGACGCUCAGGUGCGAAAGCGUGGGGAGCAAACAGG
rnacentral:rRNA from 1 species